UUUAAAAAUUAUUAAUAAAGAUUUAUAUGUAAAUUGGAGGACCUAUAUGUAAAUAUAGAAAUUACAAGGACUAAACUGCUAAGUUGCAAAAAAGAAAAAAAAAGGGGAAAACCGAAAAUUCGGUAUUAUCCCACCGCCUCCCACGCACUCUGUUUCUUCCAGAAACAGAGAGAGCGGUGGGGCGUGAGGACAAGAAGGAGAGUGGUAGAAGAAGAGGAGGUGGCUGCAGCGAGAAGCUGUGGGGCGUGGGGAGAAGAAGAGAGGAAGAAGAGGGAGAAGAGAAGAAGAAGAAGAAGAAGAAGAGAAGAGGAUAGCUGCGGCAAGGCUGCAGCGAGGAGGUGUGUGGGGUUGGGGAGGAAAAGGGAAGAGGAGAAGAAGAGGGAAAAGAGAGGGAAGAGGGAGAGGAGCAAGAGGUGGCAGCAGCUAGGGCUGCAGCACCUCUGUUUCCUGCAGGUGGAAACAGAGGAGAGGUGUGGGGCGUUCGAAGAGGAGAAGAAGAAGAAGAGGAAGAGAAGAGGAAGAGGAAGCAGGGGAAGAGGUUGUGAUACCUCUGUUUCCUGCAGACGAAACAGAGGAGAGGGUGUGGGUGACGUCGGGGAGAAGAAGGGGAGGAAGGAGAAGAAGAGAAGAAGAAGAAAGGAAGGAAAAGGAAGAGGAGAAGGGAAGAAAGUAGCUGCGGCUGCGGUUGUGGCAGCUGCAGCUGUGGCAGGGAAAGAAGAAGAGAAAGGAAGAAGGGAAGGAGAGGAAGAAGAGUAGGGGCUGCGGCUGCGGCGAUGGCAGCUGCAGUUGGAAGAGAAGAAGGAGAGGAAGAUGAGCAGGGGAGGAAGAAAAGGCUGUGGCCGUGGCUGAGGCUGCGACUGCAGCAUUCAGCUGGGAAAGAAGAGAAGGAAAGGAAGAAGAAGAGAAAGGAAGAAGGGAAGGAGAGGAAGAAGAGAAGGGGCUACGGCUGCGGCGAUGGCAGCUGCAGUUGGAAGAAAAGAAGGAGAGGAAGAUGAGCAGGGGAGGAAGAAGAGGCUGCGAGUGUGGUGGCUGCGGCCGUGGCUGCGACUCCGGCUGCGGCUGCGACGUUGGCUGCGGUAGCUGCGGCAGCGGUGGUGGCUGCAGUAGCUGCAGUAGCUGCUUUUGGGAAAGAGAAAGAGUAGGAACGAGAGAAGGGAAGAAGGAAAUAGUGCAGUGGAAGGGGGCUGCGGUUGUGAUCGCAGUUGCGGUCGUGGCUGCGAUUGUGGCAGCGGCAGCGACGGCGGCUGUGGCAGCUGUGUUUGGGAAAGAAAAAGAAGGAAUGAGAGUAAGAGAGAGCAGGUGACUGUGCCUCGAUGUUCGACACGUGAUGUAGUUACGAAGAAAGGAAGAAAACGGGAGCACAAAACGAAACAGAGAGAGGACACGGAGGAAAAGUAGAAAGAUUGGAUUGGCACCUUCCUUGGAUAUUCAGAUCAAAAUAUUUGAAAGGUCAGCUUGUCACUCUUCGAGAUGUUUGAUUUGGGCUGAGGCAGUGGAUAGCUAUUCAGAAUAAUGGGCAAGUCUGGUUGGUUAUUACGAUAUUGUUGUAUAAGUAUGUCUUGUAUAUAAUGAAAGGUUGUCGAUGAACCGAAAUGGAUAUACUGUGUCCAAGUGUUAGGAGAUCUCUCUUAUUUGGAAUUUCAGAAUGUUAAGUCUAAUUUAUGGUGAUAUGAACUUGUGGUGAAUAGUUGGAGUUCUGAUUGUAUAAUUUAUUUAGCUUGUGGAUUUAUAAAUGUUGUUCAUUUUUUUGUCAAGUUGGCUUGGGUUGCCAUAAAUGUGAAUUAUCGAGUGAUGUGAUAUAUGAUUUUAAACUGCACAGGUUUUAUGGAUGUAAAUAUGAAUAGAAUGUUUUUCAGUGUCCUCAAACGUUAGUUUGGAUCCUGGAUUGGUUUGUGAUGAAAAUUGUUUUAAAAAUCAUGGAUAUUUUGAGGGGCGUGACAGAGGUGGUAUCAGAGCAUGGUUUGAGGAUCACUGAAAUAUUUGAUAUGUUGACGUGCAAAAUAUAUUGAGGUCUAGUGAACUAUAGUGAUUGGUGGAAAUUUUCUUUGAUGUAUUUUAGGAAUCUGAGAUGAUGAGGACAUUUGGUCCUCCUAUUUCAUUUGUUUCUGAUUAAUUAAGGGGAAUGAAAGGAUUGAUCGAGGAUAUUGAAUCAGAGUGGCGCAGCGGAAGCAUGGUGGACCUAAUUUCAUUGGUGGUAGAAAAAUGAAUGAUGCAAACAGAGAAGAUAUAUGAUGUACAAAAUUGUUCUGAUGAUCGAAAGAUUUCUUUUGCCACCUUAUAUUGGAAAUAGAGGCUGAUCAUUAAUGGCAACAAUGAAAAGAAUUUUUGGAGAUAUAUGGCAAGAAUGAUAAGGAUAAGUUAGCAAUAAAAAUAUGAUUGGAAAUGAAUCAGAAAGUAAUAACAAGAGGGUCAAGACCUUUGAUUUGAAAUGGGAAGUCAUCACAAAAGACUCAAUCAUGUGUGAAUUACAAGUUAAAUUAUGAAACAAGUUUGUACUUUCGGGUGACUGGAGUCUAUUUUGCUUGUGGAAAGUUGGAUCAUGAAAUAAAAGACUGCCCUUUGAACAAGAAGAAAGAGUCACUGCCUCAUAAAUCAUCAGCCCAUGUCAGAGUGUAUGCUAUCACUGAAUAUGAUUCUGAAACUUAUGAAUUAGUGGUCAAAGGUAUUAUGCAUGUUUAUGAAAGAAUGCAAAUAUUUGUUUGAACAUGGGUUCUAUCUACGAUUUGAUUCGUAACAUGUUGCCUAUCACUUGGGUAUUCAACCUAGACCACUGUAUUAUGUGAUAUAUGUAAGUACAAUCAUUGGAGAUUCUUUGAUAACGAACUUGAAUCUAGUCCUCUUGUCUGAUUUUUGUUGGAGAACUUGAACUUUUGCUGAUUUAGUUCUCCUAGAGAUUUGGAGUUAUGAUAUUAUACUUGGUAUGCAUUGGCUAUCUUCUUAUCAUACCGGUAUGAAUUGGCAUAUAACCAAUUAUCACUUUUUGCAUAUUUGAUCAGCCGAUCUUUUAUUUUGAGAGUAUUGGACAUGAUUUAUCUCUUUGCCUAAUGUAUCCCAGAAUGACUUGCUUGGAUUACCUCCAAACGUGACUUUGCUUUUGAUUUGGUCCUUGGGACAAUCCUAAAAUCUAAGCCUCUCUACACAAUGAUAUCAUUUGAGUAAGUGGAAUUAGAAAAGCAACUACAAGGAUUGUUAAAUGAGGAUUUUAUUUGGCUUAAUAUUUCAUCAUGGGGUGCUCCGGUGUUAGUUAAAAAGAUGUAUGGAACAUUGAGGCUUUGUAAUGAUUACAGACAGUUGAAUUAGAUGACCAUAAAAAAUGAGUAUUUUCUGGAGUAACGACUUGCUUGAUUAACUGUAGGGUGCGCAAGUAUUUUUAGAAAUUGAUUGAAGGUCGGGUUACCGUCUAUUGAGAAUCAAGGAGGAGAAUAUUUCGGUCACUCUUGGAUAAUUGUGUAAUUAUAUUGUAUUGAUGAAAUUAUUUGAGAGCAGGAGAAGGAAAUAAAGAUAUCAUAAUCCUCAUCUUUUCGUUGAUUGAGCUAUGAUCAAUUUAGAGGACUAAAUUUUCUUUUAAGGAGGGGAGAGUGUAAUAUCCCUCGCUUUUAAAAAUUAUUAAUAAAGAUUUAUAUGUAAAUUGGAGGACCUAUAUGUAAAUAUAGAAAUUACAAGGACUAAACUGCUAAGUUGCAAAAAAGAAAAAAAAAGGGGAAAACCGAAAAUUCGGUAUUAUCCCACCGCCUCCCACGCACUCUGUUUCUUCCAGAAACAGAGAGAGCGGUGGGGCGUGAGGACAAGAAGGAGAGUGGUAGAAGAAGAGGAGGUGGCUGCAGCGAGAAGCUGUGGGGCGUGGGGAGAAGAAGAGAGGAAGAAGAGGGAGAAGAGAAGAAGAAGAAGAAGAAGAAGAGAAGAGGAUAGCUGCGGCAAGGCUGCAGCGAGGAGGUGUGUGGGGUUGGGGAGGAAAAGGGAAGAGGAGAAGAAGAGGGAAAAGAGAGGGAAGAGGGAGAGGAGCAAGAGGUGGCAGCAGCUAGGGCUGCAGCACCUCUGUUUCCUGCAGGUGGAAACAGAGGAGAGGUGUGGGGCGUUCGAAGAGGAGAAGAAGAAGAAGAGGAAGAGAAGAGGAAGAGGAAGCAGGGGAAGAGGUUGUGAUACCUCUGUUUCCUGCAGACGAAACAGAGGAGAGCGUGUGGGUGACGUCGGGGAGAAGAAGGGGAGGAAGGAGAAGAAGAGAAGAAGAAGAAAGGAAGGAAAAGGAAGAGGAGAAGGGAAGAAAGUAGCUGCGGCUGCGGUUGUGGCAGCUGCAGCUGUGGCAGGGAAAGAAGAAGAGAAAGGAAGAAGGGAAGGAGAGGAAGAAGAGUAGGGGCUGCGGCUGCGGCGAUGGCAGCUGCAGUUGGAAGAGAAGAAGGAGAGGAAGAUGAGCAGGGGAGGAAGAAAAGGCUGUGGCCGUGGCUGAGGCUGCGACUGCAGCAUGCAGCUGGGAAAGAAGAGAAGGAAAGGAAGAAGAAGAGAAAGGAAGAAGGGAAGGAGAGGAAGAAGAGAAGGGGCUACGGCUGCGGCGAUGGCAGCUGCAGUUGGAAGAAAAGAAGGAGAGGAAGAUGAGCAGGGGAGGAAGAAGAGGCUGCGAGUGUGGUGGCUGCGGCCGUGGCUGCGACUCCGGCUGCGGCUGCGACGUUGGCUGCGGUAGCUGCGGCAGCGGUGGUGGCUGCAGUAGCUGCAGUAGCUGCUUUUGGGAAAGAGAAAGAGUAGGAACGAGAGAAGGGAAGAAGGAAAUAGUGCAGUGGAAGGGGCUGCGGUUGUGAUCGCAGUUGCGGUCGUGGCUGCGAUUGUGGCAGCGGCAGCGACGGCGGCUGUGGCAGCUGUGUUUGGGAAAGAAAAAGAAGGAAUGAGAGUAAGAGAGAGCAGGUGACUGUGCCUCGAUGUUCGACACGUGAUGUAGUUACGAAGAAAGGAAGAAAACGGGAGCACAAAACGAAACAGAGAGAGGACACGGAGGAAAAGUAGAAAGAUUGGAUUGGCACCUUCCUUGGAUAUUCAGAUCAAAAUAUUUGAAAGGUCAGCUUGUCACUCUUCGAGAUGUUUGAUUUGGGCUGAGGCAGUGGAUAGCUAUUCAGAAUAAUGGGCAAGUCUGGUUGGUUAUUACGAUAUUGUUGUAUAAGUAUGUCUUGUAUAUAAUGAAAGGUUGUCGAUGAACCGAAAUGGAUAUACUGUGUCCAAGUGUUAGGAGAUCUCUCUUAUUUGGAAUUUCAGAAUGUUAAGUCUAAUUUAUGGUGAUAUGAACUUGUGGUGAAUAGUUGGAGUUCUGAUUGUAUAAUUUAUUUAGCUUGUGGAUUUAUAAAUGUUGUUCAUUUUUUUGUCAA